rnacentral:piRNA from 1 species
GCAUUAUUUUCACACAGCCUGUAUUAGGUUC